GACUACUGGGGUAUCUAAGCCCGUUCGCUCCCCAUGCUUUCGCGCCUCAGCGUCAGAUUGCGGCCAAUGCGUCGCCUUCGCCACCGGUGUUCCCUGUGAUAUCUGGGCAUUUCACCGCUCCACCACAAGUUCCACGCAUCCCUCCGCACCUCAAGCUCCGCAGUCUUAUGGCCAGUUCGACGGGUGAGCCGCCGGAUUUCAACCAUAACUUACGAAGCCGCCUACGCGCCCUUUAAGCCCAGUGAUUCCGAAUAACGUUCGUGACCUACGUAUUACCGCAGCUGCUGGCACGUAGUUAGCCGUCACUUCCUCUGGGGUAUAAGUCAUCGCGUGGGUUACACGCUUAUUCCUUCCCCCUGACAGUGGUUUACAACCCGAAGGCCUUCAUCCCACACGCGGCGUCGCACGUUCAGGCUUUCGCCCAUUGACAAUGAUUCUCGACUGCAGCCCCCCGUAGG
rnacentral:rRNA from 1 species